AUUGAACGCUGGCGGAAUGCUUUACACAUGCAAGUCGAACGGCAGAGGGGGCAACCCCUCGAGAGUGGCGAACGGGUGAGUAAUAUAUCGGAACGUGCCCAGUCGUGGGGGAUAACGUAGCGAAAGUUACGCUAAUACCGCAUACGAUCUAAGGAUGAAAGUGGGGGAUCGCAAGACCUCGCGCGAUUGGAGCGGCCGAUAUCAGAUUAGGUAGUGGGUGGGGUAAAGGCUCACCAAGCCAACGAUCUGUAGCUGGUCUGAGAGGACGACCAGCCACACUGGAACUGAGACACGGUCCAGACUCCUACGGGAGGCAGCAGUGGGGAAUUUUGGACAAUGGACGCAAGUCUGAUCCAGCCAUUCCGCGUGCAGGAUGAAGGCCCUCGGGUUGUAAACUGCUUUUGUACGGAACGAAAAGGUCUCUCUUAAUACGGGGGGCUCAUGACGGUACCGUAAGAAUAAGCACCGGCUAACUACGUGCCAGCAGCCGCCGUAA
rnacentral:rRNA from 1 species